UCCGGAUUGGAGUCUGCAACUCGACUCCAUGAAGUCGGAAUCGCUAGUAAUCGUAGAUCAGAAUGCUACGGUGAAUACGUUCCCGGGCCUUGUACACACCGCCCGUCACACCAUGGGAGUGGGUUGCAAAAGAAGUAGGUAGCUUAACCUUCGGGAGGGCGCUUACCACUUUGUGAUUCAUGACUGGGGUGAAGUCGUAACAAGGUAACCGUAGGGGAACCUGCGGUUGGAUCACCUCCUU
rnacentral:rRNA from 1 species